GAUGAACGCUGGCGGCAUGCUUUACACAUGCAAGUCGAACGGUAGAGGGGGCAACCCCUUGAGAGUGGCGAACGGGUGAGUAAUGCAUCGGAACGUGCCCAGUCGUGGGGGAUAACGCAGCGAAAGCUGUGCUAAUACCGCAUACGAUCUCUGGAUGAAAGCGGGGGACCGAAAGGCCUCGCGCGAUUGGAGCGGCCGAUGUCAGAUUAGGUAGUUGGUGGGGUAAAGGCCUACCAAGCCAACGAUCAGUAGCUGGUCUGAGAGGACGACCAGCCACACUGGGACUGAGACACGGCCCAGACUCCUACGGGAGGCAGCAGUGGGGAAUUUUGGACAAUGGGCGCAAGCCUGAUCCAGCAAUGCCGCGUGCAGGAAGAAGGCCUUCGGGUUGUAAACUGCUUUUGUACGGAACGAAACGGUCUGGGUUAAUACCCUGGGCUAAUGACGGUACCGUAAGAAUAAGCACCGGCUAACUACGUGCCAGCCGCCGCCGUAA
rnacentral:rRNA from 1 species